UGAGGAAUAUUGGUCAAUGGGCGCAAGCCUGAACCAGCCAUGCCGCGUGCAGGAUGACGGUCCUAUGGAUUGUAAACUGCUUUUGUACGGGAAGAAAUGUAAUUACGUGUAAUUAUUUGACGGUACCGUAAGAAUAAGGAUCGGCUAACUCCGUGCCAGCCGCCGCGGUAAU
rnacentral:rRNA from 1 species